rnacentral:pre_miRNA from 1 species
AAUAAGUGCAGUUUUGCACUAUUCAUGUUCAACGUUUGACCGUCUGUCUUAUUUGAAAAUUUUUUAUGAUUAGUAUUUUUAUUGCUAUUAGAUGAUAAAACAUGAAUAGUACUUUAUGUGCGACUAAAUGUUUUUAAUUUUUCACAAAUUUUUCAAAUAAGACGGACGGUCAAAUGUUGAACGUGAAUAGUGCAAAACUGCAUUUAUU